ACAUGCCUACAACAUAGCGUUAAUGCACUAGAUCCCAUUAUAACUUCGUAGUUAAGCACGCUUAGGCUAUAGUAGUAGUGGGAUGGGUGACUGCCUGAUAAUUCCUAGUGUUUUACAUGCU
rnacentral:rRNA from 1 species